GAUGAAGAACGCAGCGAAAUGCGAUACUUGGUGUGAAUUGCAGAAUCCCGCGAAUCAUCGAGUUUUUGAACGCAAGUUGCGCCCGAAGCCAUUCGGCCGAGGGCACGUCUGCCUGGGUGUCACGCAUCGUUGCCCCCCCAAACUCCGGUUCGGGCAGGGCGGAAGUUGGCCUCCCGUGCGUGCCUGCGCGCGCGGUUAGCCCAAAAGCGAGUCCUCGGCGACGAGCGCCACGACAAUCGGUGGUUUUUUUACCCUCGUUCCUCGUCGUGCGUGCCCCGUUGCCCGAACGCGCUCUUGCGACCCUUACGCGUCGCCUCGGCGGCGCUCCCAACGCGACCCCAGGUCAGGCGGGACUACCCGCUGAGUUUAAGCAUAUCAAUAAGCGGAGGA
rnacentral:misc_RNA from 1 species